rnacentral:rRNA from 1 species
UACGUAGGGUGCAAGCGUUAAUCGGAAUUACUGGGCGUAAAGCGUGCGCAGGCGGUUAUGCAAGACAGAUGUGAAAUCCCCGGGCUCAACCUGGGAACUGCAUUUGUGACUGCAUGGCUAGAGUACGGUAGAGGGGGAUGGAAUUCCGCGUGUAGCAGUGAAAUGCGUAGAUAUGCGGAGGAACACCGAUGGCGAAGGCAAUCCCCUGGACCUGUACUGACGCUCAUGCACGAAAGCGUAGGGAGCAAACAGG